GAAGUGCGAUAAGCAAUGCGAAUUGCAGAACCGUGAGUCAUCAGAUUUUUGAACGCAACUGGCGCCGGCUGGAUCUCCAGUCGGCAUGCUUGUUUCAGUGUCUUGUUUUCUCCUCACCCAAACCUUAAUGCGAGAGAUACCCUUCUCUUGUUAAACAGGAAAGCACUGGUAGAAUAAACUACAUGCCUCUACUCUCAAUGAGUUCACACUUUGAGAAAUGUGACGACAGCAUUGAGCGCAGCUUCAAGAACGAGUCUACGAAGCCGCCU
rnacentral:misc_RNA from 1 species